rnacentral:rRNA from 1 species
CCUACGGGAGGCUGCAGUGGGGAAUAUUGCACAAUGGGCGCAAGCCUGAUGCAGCAACGCCGCGUGAGUGAAGAAGGUCUUCGGAUCGUAAAGCUCUGUCCGUGAGGAAGAGGGAAGUGACGGUAUUCAGGGAGGAAGACGCGGCUAACUACGCGCCAGCAGCCGGGGUAAUACGUAGGGGGCAAGCGUUAUCCGGAAUUAUUGGGGGAAAAGAGUACGUAGGGGGUAUUGUAAGCGCGGGGUAAAAGGCAGGGGCUUAACCAUUGUAAGCCUUGCGAACUGCAAGACUUGAGUGCAGGAGAGGAAAGCGGAAUUCCUAGUGUAGCGGUGAAAUGCUUAGAUAUUAGGAGGAACACCAGUGGCGAAGGCGGCUUUCUGGACUGUAACUGACACUGAGGUACGAAAGCGUGGGGAGCAAACAGGAUUAGAUACCCGUGUAGUC